CAGUCGCCGCGGUAAUACGAAGGGUGCAAGCGUUACUCGGAAUUACUGGGCGUAAAGCGUGCGUAGGCGGUGAGUUAAGUCUGCUGUGAAAUCCCCGGGCUCAACCUGGGAAUGGCAGUGGAUACUGGCUCGCUAGAGUGUGUCAGAGGAUGGUGGAAUUCCCGGUGUAGCGGUGAAAUGCGUAGAGAUCGGGAGGAACAUCAGUGGCGAAGGCGGCCAUCUGGGACAACACUGACGCUGAGGCACGAAAGCGUGGGGAGCAAACAGGAUUAGAUACCCGGGUAGUCCCUGUCUCUUAUAC
rnacentral:rRNA from 1 species